UGACUGUCCAAUCAGAGACCACAGAGAUAAAGACAGUUUCUUUUACAAAUUAACUUAUGCAGGAAAUCUCACCUAAACUGUUUCAUAACUAGAUCUCAAGGUUACUUGUAAAUAUAAAAGAACAGACUUUCUACAGAGCUGAAUACUUCUCCCUCGAAAUUAUAGAGAACAUCAAACAAAGUUGGUGAAGCAUGAAAACGACACUUGUUGUAGUUCUUGUCGUCUGCUUGUUGUUGGGUUGUUUCAUCCUUCCUGCAGUUGAAGGUCAGCAUGGAAGAUGGAGACAUGCUGGAAGAAGAUACGGUAAAGGAAGAUACGGUGGAGGAAGAUAUGGUGGAGGAAGAUAUGGUGUAAGAUAUGGUGGAAGACAUGGUUAGAGGAAGAUACUCAGGUUAACAAUAGGAUUAAAUGUCGACAAUUUAAGAUAACCUGAUCAGGAACUUCAAAGCGACUUAUCUUGUAUUACGUAUUUUAUGAGAAAACUAUAAAAUAUUCAAAUAAACUUGUUAUAUCUGAUAUAGUUUUUAUUUUGUAAAGUAAAAUACUAGAGAACCCGUACAAUUGUUUUACAAUCAAUAAAUUAUAAGUGAAUAAACAGAUUAAUACUGCAGUA